rnacentral:rRNA from 1 species
GAAACGAUCGUUAAUACCGCAUAACAUAAUUGAACCGCAUGAUUUGAUUAUCAAAGAUUUAUCGCUGAAAGAUGAGCUCGCGUCUGAUUAGCUAGUUGGUAAGGUAACGGCUUACCAAGGCGACGAUCAGUAGCCGGACUGAGAGGUUGAUCGGCCACAUUGGGACUGAGACACGGCCCAGACUCCUACGGGAGGCAGCAGUGGGGAAUAUUGCACAAUGGAGGAAACUCUGAUGCAGCGAUGCCGCGUGAGGGAAGAAGGUUUUAGGAUUGUAAACCUCUGUCUUCAGGGACGAAAAAUGACGGUACCUGAGGAGGAAGCUCCGGCUAACUACGUGCCAGCAGCCGCGGUAAUACGUAGGGAGCGAGCGUUGUCCGGAAUUACUGGGUGUAAAGGGAGCGUAGGCGGGAUCGCAAGUCAGAUGUGAAAACUAUGGGCUUAACCCAUAAACUGCAUUUGAAACUGUGGUUCUUGAGUGAAGUAGAGGUAAGCGGAAUUCCUAGUGUAGCGGUGAAAUGCGUAGAUAUUAGGAGGAACAUCGGUGGCGAAGGCGGCUUACUGGGCUUUAACUGACGCUGAGGCUCGAAAGCGUGGGGAGCAAACAGGAUUAGAUACCCUGGUAGUCCACGCCGUAAACGAUGAUUACUAGGUGUGGGGGGACUGACCCCUUCCGUG